rnacentral:rRNA from 1 species
ACUACGGGUGGCAGCAGUGAGGAAUAUUGGUCAAUGGGCGCAAGCCUGAACCAGCCACGCCGCGUGAAGGAAGACGGCCCUAUGGGUUGUAAACUGCUUUUUUAAGGGGGUAAAUUGAGGCACGUGUGCCUGUUUGUAAGUACUUUAUGAAUAAGGAUCGGCUAACUCCGUGCCAGCAGCCGCGGUAAUACGGAGGAUCCAAGCGUUAUCCGGAUUUAUUGGGUUUAAAGGGGGCGUAGGUGGGCAGUUAAGUCAGAGGUGAAAGCUUGCGGCUCAACCUCAAAAUUGCUUUUGAUACUGGUAGUCUUGAGUGAAGUUGAGGUAGGCGGAAUUCGUGGUGUAGCGGUGAAAUGCUUAGAGAUCACGAAGAACACCGAUUGCGAAGGCAGCUUACUAAACUGCCACUGACGUUGAGGCGCGAAAGCGUGGGUAGCAAACAGGAUUAGAUACCCCUGUAGUC